rnacentral:rRNA from 1 species
GUAAUGUCUGGGAAACUGCCUGAUGGAGGGGGAUAACUACUGGAAACGGUGGCUAAUACCGCAUAACGUCGCAAGACCAAAGAGGGGGACCUUCGGGCCUCUUGCCAUCAGAUGUGCCCAGAUGGGAUUAGCUUGUUGGUGAGGUAACGGCUCACCAAGGCGACGAUCCCUAGCUGGUCUGAGAGGAUGACCAGCCACACUGGAACUGAGACACGGUCCAGACUCCUACGGGAGGCAGCAGUGGGGAAUAUUGCACAAUGGGCGCAAGCCUGAUGCAGCCAUGCCGCGUGUAUGAAGAAGGCCUUCGG